rnacentral:rRNA from 1 species
UACGGAGGAUGCGAGCGUUAUCCGGAUUUAUUGGGUUUAAAGGGUGCGUAGGCGGACGCUUAAGUCAGCGGUAAAAUUGCGGGGCUCAACCUCGUCUAGCCGUUGAAACUGGGUGCCUUGAGUGGGCGAGAAGUACGCGGAAUGCGUGGUGUAGCGGUGAAAUGCAUAGAUAUCACGCAGAACUCCGAUUGCGAAGGCAGCGUACCGGCGCCCAACUGACGCUGAAGCACGAAGGCGUGGGUAUCGAACAGG